GGGAGCUCCUAGGGAGGGGGUUGUGAGCCCAGUGCCCAGGGCAGGAAGAGGCCUGUGGAAAAGACUCUCCAGAAAGGCCAGGGGCUGAUGUGAGGCCUGACACAGCUCGCUGGCUGGCUCGGGUGACAUUGGAAAGCUCGGGAAGGGUUUGGGCCCGAAGGGCCAAAGGAGGUGGUAUUUCAUAAGGACUCAGUUGAACCCAAGGAAGAGACAUGUUACUCGUGCAGGGCCGCACUGUGCCAUGCCCUGGCGUGGGACCUUGCCACACAGUUGCUGCAGGACAGCGUUGGGAAAGGGGGCUUCAGAAAAGAGGUUUCAGAGUAGCAGCCGUGUUAGUCUGUAUCCGCAAAAAGAAAAGGAGGACUUGUGGCACCUUAGAGGCUAACACAUUUAUUUGAGCAGAAGCUUUCGUGAGCUACAGCUCACUUCAUCGGAUGUGAGAUUGUUAUUGUAUUGUGGUAGCGUCUAGGAGCCCUAGUCUUAGACCAGGACCCCAGUGUGCUAGGCACUGGACAAAUAGAACAAGAAGAUGGGCCAUGCCCUAGGGAUCCUACAGUCUAAGACAAAUUACGAAGCUAAGAUGCCUCUUUUUAUUCCUGGUUGGAUGUCCAAGUAGACCCUAAAGAUCCAAUUGCACUUUUCAAAAAGAUAUGGGUUAUGCCUAGUGCCCUGGCCAACAGCCUUCUCUCUCCAUCUCAGGGAAGCAGGUUGUAAUGUCCAAAAUUAUGUUUGAGUUCUUGCUGUUAAGCUUGCCUGUGUAGUUGUUUCACUACCAUUGUAUAUUGUUUUGUAAAAGACUCUGUAAUAUAUUGAAUAUGAAAGAUGCAUUAUACCUAUAUAUUGUUCUCCACUCCAGUUCUGACCUACCAAGAAAAAAAAAAAAGUCUGGAAAUCAAUUAGAAGCAAGAUCGUUUUGGCAGCUUCUGUGGUCUAUAGGUAGUACUCUGGCAGUGCAGGAGACCUGAUUUCCAUUUCUGGUCCCAAUUUCACAUCCAGUAAAGUAAUAUUUCUCUCUCUCUCUCUUAAGCCCUGUGUACUCUAGGGAAUUGUUACAAAAACUUCCCACCCAUUUACCUAGCUUUCUCAUUCUGGCAGCUGUUUUCAGCACUAGGUGGAAGGGACUGUCUUUAAAUGCUUUGGGCAGCACUAUUCACUUCAGUGGUGUGACAUACAAAUAUUACAAAAUACUACUACCUUAGAGGUUGGAAAUGUUCUUGAGGACAAGAGGCUUUCCCCUCUGAAGGGCAGGAGAACCUCAUGUUGCUCUCCAUUGACCCCUCGAGCUGACUAAGGAGUGACACAAUCUAGAUUCUAUCUAGAAGAUGGACUAGAAAGCAUCAACAGUUUCUGAAGGGAGUUGCAUCUGUUUUUCCACACCAACGAUGACAGUAGCCAUUGCAUAGAGUUGUGAGGGUGGGAAGUGAAUGUAAAUGGAAAAAAUGGAGAGAGACUCAGGAUUGUGACAGACAUGAAGACCCAGUGGACAAAAAAGGCAGACUUUCUUUCUGUAUUUUUCUUGAAGAUUUGUUCUCCUUUGUUUUGAGUUCUCCCUUCCAACAUCUAGGUGUGAUUACUGUAAUGCCUUGCAUCAGAUGAAGUGAGCUAUAGUUUACAAAAGCUUAUGCUCAAAUAAAUUUGUUAGUCUCUAAGAUGCCACAAGUACUCCUUUUCUUUUUGCGGAUACAGACUAACACGGCUGCUACUCCUGUAAUUCCUUACUGGCUGGUGUCUCUAUUUUGCUUACUGAAAGGUUUAGCUUAUCCAGAUUUCACUAAGCCUUUUAUUAGCACUAGACCAGCUCAACACUUAACUCAUGUUUUCCAGCUUUUUGUUGUUGUUGUCGUCAUAUGAUAGCUUUCCUUGUAGAUUUUAAGAUCUUGCUCAUGACUUAUAAGCACUCCGUGGACUGCAUUCUUUAUAUAUUUGUGUUCAGAGGUUGGAAAGAGCUGCUGCUGGCUGAUGCAUUACACUAGAACUUCUGUGGUUACCUCAUUGUUUUCUGCAGAAUUUAAACUUUUUGUUUAAAAAUGUCUAGUCCUUAUAAUCUCAAAGAAAAAUUUGAACUGAGGCAGUACUAUCUGAGUCUUCAGACAGAACAGCUUUGAGAGAUGUCAGCUAUCGCCCUUUGUCUUGAUAUCUUAAUGCUGAAACCUAAUUUUGACACAUUUUUUUAAUCAACAUUGUUAACUGUUUCACUGCUAAUGAUUUCAGCAAAAACAUCCAGCUUGUCUGGGGUUGUUGACAAAAGUUUGGGAUUGCAGAAAGAGAUUAGUGGAAGGUCGCCACUUUUAUUUUUCCAAUCUGACCCAUUUGAGCUUUUUUAGCCAUUUAGUCUCUGUCUUGGAAUCUUGUAAGUAGGAGUUAUCUGUUCCAUUGUUUAAAAUGAACCUCUUUGAAAAGAUUAUUUUCUCUUCACAUGCUUUAUCAUCUAUGGAGUGUGUUGCCUUCUGUUGUCAGGAACUCUGAUUACUUCACUGUAUUCCAAUCAUACUGUUUUCUAAACAGGGGUUAAGAGAGUUAACAAUCAAUGAAUCUUGUUCGGGGGUGGGGGGGGGGUUAAAAUUUUAAAUACCUCAUGUAAAUAGCACUGGAUAAGCUUUUAUAUUUCUAUUGUAUUUUAAAAUAUGAACCAACUGCAUGCACAUGUGAACGCAGAUACACGUGUUGUUAGUAUUAUCUCAUAAAAUUUUGUUUUCACAUUUUCACUGUACUCGCCAAACAAAAGCACAAGCUGAGUCUCUGUAAUGAAUGUGCUACUCAAUUCUGCUUUUGACUGCACAUCUAAUAGCUAUGGUUUAUACAGAAUGUUUGAUCUUGAAAGAAUCCAACAAUUUUAGAUUGUAUAUUAUAUUUUAUAUAUAAACCAUUUCCACACAAUGCUAUUGAAAAGUCGCUGUUUUGAGGAUGGAAUAUGAUAUUCCAUAUUAGACCAACAACAUUGCAUAAUUGAUUUUAGGAGGGGAAAUGAAGAACAAUCCCUCAUUUCAGCCUUUGGGGCGAAUUUUAGCAGGCAGCUGCAUUGAACAGGUCAACAAAUAUCAGAACAGAUUAUUUGGGUAUGGUCUGUGCUACAAAGGGUGAAUGCUUUAUAAAAGGUGUAAUUGCAUGAAAAACUGUGAGUGCAUACAGGAAGCUGCUAUUCCAGCAGUGCAUUGCUUUGACUCCUGCUUGGAUGCCACAAAACAUUCUUGAGAGAUGGAGGAAAACAAAGGGCAGAGUACUAGAGCCACCAGAACCCAACUCACUGCUGUAGGUGACCUGAGGAGAAGCUGGCAGAGCUGGGCAGAAGAUCACAUUGAUUAUCAGAGGCAGAAUCCAUUCAGCAAUGAUAGCAAGCCUGUGACCAAGUCUGUGCAUCCCCAGAGAGGAGAUCCCAUCUAUGGGAGACCGCCUGAAGGGUCUAAAACGGAGCAAAGAGGGAAAGAUGCCCACACACAUGUGGGAAAGGAAGUGGAAGAGCUAUGCUUGAUCAUGAGAAAUACUGGGGAGAAAGGAGAAGAUGGAAAUGUAAGAGUGACAUUCCGACAACUGUUUGAAACAUAUGUGACUAUUUCCAAUAAAGUAGUGGGGAUCCUGCUGAGAGCAAGAAAAUAUGGGCUGGUUCAGUUUGAAGGUGAAAUGCUUUGGCAAGGAAAAGAUGACAAUGUUAUCAUCACCUUACUUGAAUAAUACUGAUGAAUGUUUCCAUUUAGGAAAAUAAACUAUCUAAAUGUCAGCUUGAUAAAGGUUUAUACAGCACAGGGGUGGAAUGGAAAAAUAUGAAGAGGACAAAAAAUAUUUUCAUGGAAUCCUAGAAAUUGGAGAUAGAAAUGAUGUAAUGGGUCAACUAAUCUAUCCCUGUGCCCUUUUCCUCCACAGCUUUGUCUUGUCUACUUCUAAAUGUCUCAAGUGAGAGGGCUUCUCUUACAGCUCUGCAUAACUGAAGUUAAAAUUACUACCAGUCUGCACUGGGUCUUGUAGCAGUGAGUUUAGAAAUAAGCAGAGUAAAAUCCAUCACAGAAUGUGGUAUCUUGCUAAUGAACCACAGUUAAAUGCUUGAAGAUGAAUAAAUAAACUUGUUUCAUUAAAAAAAAAA